ensembl:lncRNA
CAGCACCCCGUGCGCUCAGCAGCCCCGUGUGCUCAGCCACCCUGUAUGCUCAGCACCCCGUGUGCUCAGCACCCCGUGCGCUCAGCACUCCGUGUGCUCAGCAGCCCUGUGUGCUCAGCCCCGUGUGCUCAGCACCCCGUGCACUCAGCACCCCGUGCGCUCAGCAGCCCUGUGUGCUCAGCCCCGUGUGCUCAGCCACCCCGUAUGCUCAGCAGUCCCGUGUGCUCAGCACCCCGUGCGCUCAGCAGCCCUGUGUGCUCAGCCCCGUGCACUCAGCACCCCGUGUACUCAGCCCCAUGUGCUCAGCCCCGUGUGCUCAGCCCCGUGUGCUCAGCACCCCGUGUGCUCAGGAGCCCUGUGUGCUCAGCCCCGUGUGCUGAGCAGCCCCGUGUGCUCAGCACCCCGUGUGCUCAGCCCUGUGUGCUCAGCCCCGUGCGCUCAGCACCCCGUGUGCUCAGCAGCCCCGUGUGCUGAGCAGCCCUGUGUGCUCAGCCCCAUGUGCUCAGCCCCGUGCGCUCAGCACCCCGUGUACUCAGCCCCAUGUGCUCAGCCCCGUGUGCUCAGCAGUCCCGUGUGCUCAGCACUCCGUGUGCUCAGGAGCCCUGUGUGCUCAGCGCCGUGUGCUCAGCAGCCCCGUGUGCUCAGCCUCGUGCGCUCAGCCCUGUGCGCUCAGCACCCUGUGUGCUCAGCCCCGUGUGCUCAGUCCCGUGUGCUGAGCAGCCCCGUGUGCUCAACCCCAUGUGCUCAGCAGCCCCGUGUGCUCAGCAGUCCCGUAUGCUCAGCCCCGUGUGCUCAGCACCCCGUGUGCUGAGCAGCCCCGUGUGCUCAGUCCCGUGUGCUGAGCAGCCCCGUGUGCUCAGCCCCAUGUGCUCAGCAGCCCCGUGUGCUCAGCAGUCCCGUAUGCUCAGCCCUGUGUGCUCAGCACCCCGUGUGCUCAGCCCUGUGUGCUCAGCCCCGUGUGCUCAGCAGCGCUGUGUGCUCAGCCCCGUGUACUCAGCACCCCAUGUGCUCAGCAGCCCCGUGUGCUCAGCCCCGUGUGCUCAGUGGCCUCUCCGCGCCCCCACCUUCUUUGGGCCCUUCUGUUCAGCUUUCACCUCCUCCUUGCCCUCGGCGGCCGCUUUCUAAUUCUCUCACUGAGCUGCCUUUGUACGUGCAGCUCUCCCCACUUCCUCCUGCUCUGAACCUCUCAGAAUCUGCCCCUGUAUUUAAGUUUUGUUUUCUAUUGAAACAUAGUUGAUUGACAAUGUUGUGUUAGUUUCAGGGUACAGCAAGGUGAUUCAGGUAUACCUACACACGUGUCGUUCUUUUUCAAAUUCUUUUCCCAAUUGGGCUAUUACAGGCUCCAGGGAAGAGACUCUGGAUCCAGGUGACAUGCCCAGAGUGCCCACCCCUGCACACCCACUGGAGACCUGAAAGUGAAGAUUUCCUGGAACUGAAGCAGACCACAUCUGAGCCGACGUCAGGAUCAGGCUUGUUAGAUGGUCUGAAACUCACACACCUCUCUCAUCUGGACUACUAACUAACUCUGCAAUCUUACCAAAAUUCACGGGCUGGAUGUGUGACCUGCAGGCUGUGUGACUGACAGUCUUUCCCAAAUGAGAAAGUCUCUGAUAACCCAGUAUUGGAAAUCAACUAUACUUCAAUUUAAAUAAACAAGAAGUCCCUGCAGUUUCCCUGUUUGGGGGAAAGUUCAUCAGCUAUUGCUUCAUGUCAUUCCUGUACCGCGCCUUCUCCGAGUGCUUGUUUCUCUCCGAGUCGCGUGUGCCCUUGCUGCAGUCACUGUUCUAAGACACACUUCAGAAGGGAAAUCCCUGAGACCUCUGGCCUACCUCUCUGUUACUUGAAUGUGCCCUCCAGAGUUUUCCAACCUCUCUUCCAAGAGGGACAUGAUAUCCAGGAAAGGUCCUCCCUGGCACUGACAAAAAGUCACUGAAUCCAUUUAAAAAAUGUGUUGAUAAGCAACACUUUUACAGGAAAAUCUUCAUCAAAGAGGGGAAAUGUGAAAAUUAGUAAGCAGAAACCUUGUUUAACGCGAGGCCAGAAGGCGGCGCUCUCAGCCCUACCGAGGGUCGGUCUCAGUCACGCCCGACCCUUGGCGACCCCGGACCGGCGCCCGCUCCUCGGUCCGUGGACUCUCCAGGCAGAACUGGGGUGGGGACCUUGGUCUUCCCGUCCAGGGAGCAAACCCAGGUCUCCUAUACCGGAAGGCGACUCUCCACCACCAGCGCCGCCCGGGAAGCCCCGAGGGCCUGCGGCGCAGCCUCGGUCGCAGACCCCACGGGAAGGUGCAGACCUGCGCCCCAGGCGGGAGAUUUUCUCCCCGCCCGGCAACAGCUCAGCCAAUGAGAGGCUGUCGCCGUGCGACCCAUGGAAAGCCGCCACACUUCCGGCUCCCGGCUUCCUCCAAUGGGCUCUCUGUUUAGAACAGCCCUUCCAACCCCCUUUCUCUAUGAUAGAGCUUUCUUUCUUUUGUUCUCUGUACUUGCUUAUGGUUCACCUUAGUUUUCUCGUCUUGCAUUCCAAUUAUUUCCUGUUCCCAAAUAAACCCACAUUGCUGGUAAUAACUGGCUGUUUUAUUAUUUGAGCAUCUUUACAACAGCUCUUCCAAGUCUUCGUCAGAUAAUUUCAACACCGCGGCUUCUCAUCCUUGGCACCUGCUGGCAGCCUGUGUCUGCUGGUCA